rnacentral:rRNA from 1 species
AGAGUUUGAUCCUGGCUCAGGACGAACGCUGGCGGCGUGCUUAACACAUGCAAGUCGAGCGGAAAGGCCACUUCGGUGGUACUCGAGCGGCGAACGGGUGAGUAACACGUGAGUAAUCUGCCCCCCACUUUGGGAUAGCCACCGGAAACGGUGAUUAAUACCGGAUAUGACCCUUGACCGCAUGGUUGUGGGUGGAAAGUUUUUCGGUGGGGGAUGUGCUCGCGGCCUAUCAGCUUGAUGGUGGGGUAAUGGCCUACCAUGGCUUCGACGGGUAGCCGGCCUGAGAGGGUGACCGGCCACACUGGGACUGAGACACGGCCCAGACUCCUACGGGAGGCAGCAGUGGGGAAUAUUGGACAAUGGGCGGAAGCCUGAUCCAGCAACGCCGCGUGAGGGAUGACGGCCUUCGGGUUGUAAACCUCUUUCAGUACCGACGAAGCGAAAGUGACGGAGG